CCUUGUACACACCGCCCGUCACACCAUGGGAGCGGGUUCUGCCAGAAGUAGUUAGCCUAACCGCAAGGGGCCGCUUACCACGGUAGGAUUCAUGACUGGGGUG
rnacentral:rRNA from 1 species